rnacentral:rRNA from 1 species
UGGGGAAUUUUGGACAAUGGGCGCAAGCCUGAUCCAGCCAUUCCGCGUGCAGGAUGAAGGCCCUCGGGUUGUAAACUGCUUUUGUACGGAACGAAAAGGCUCUGGUUAAUACCCGGGGCUGAUGACGGUACCGUAAGAAUAAGCACCGGCUAACUACGUGCCAGCAGCCGCGGUAAUACGUAGGGUGCAAGCGUUAAUCGGAAUUACUGGGCGUAAAGCGUGCGCAGGCGGUGAUGUAAGACAGAUGUGAAAUCCCCGGGCUCAACCUGGGAACUGCAUUUGUGACUGCAUUGCUGGAGUGCGGCAGAGGGGGGAUGGAAUUCCGCGUGUAGCAGUGAAAUGCGUAGAUAUGCGGAGGAACACCGAUGGCGAAGGCAAUCCCCUGGGCCUGCACUGACGCUCAUGCACGAAAGCGUGGGGAGCAAACAGGAUUAGAUACCCUGGUAGUCCACGCCCUAAACGAUGUCAACUGGUUGUUGGUCCUUCACUGGAUCAGUAACGAAGCUAACGCGUGAAGUUGACCGCCUGGGGAGUACGGCCGCAAGGUUGAAACUCAAAUGAAUUGAC